CGUUGGAGGUUUCUCCAACAGAUGCAACUCUACUAUCCAAUAGGAGUGCCUGUUAUGCAUGUUUGCGAGACGGACCUGAAGCAUUAAGGGAUGCAACUGAAUGCAUAUCUUUAAGGCCUGAUUGGCCAAAGGCAUACUACAGGGCAGGCGUAGCGCUCAACAUUCUGAAAAGGUUCCGCGAAGCAGCAGAUGUCUUUUUUAAGGGUUUGACGCUGGAUCCUGAAAACAACGAUCUUGUAGAUGCAUUCAGGGCUGCUAAUGAAGCCAGAUUGAAGUCGAUCAUCCUACAACCGUAGGAAGAAGUAAGAUGGUGAUGAUAGUAGACUGACAAUAUCAUCUCGACCAGAAGACACAUUUUGUGGCCAACUUUUGUAUAGGAAGUACUGAAUGGGGUUUUGCUAAGAUUCUUAACUAUUGGCGCCAUAUGGAUUUUACUUUACAAUAGUUAUGUAGUACUUUCCUAUUCCACUUGGAAUUUUGUUGAUGAAGAAAACUCUAAAACUUAUGCCACUAGUAGGUGUGUAAUUAAGUUUCAGUUGCUAUCUUACUUCUGACAUCCUAGGCGCCAUCCCUGCUUUACCUCUUCCUUUUUUUUUGAUUCUCCAGAGUUUUUGGAUACUUAAUGUGGACUUUGCAACUGAAGGCUUUGAUCCUUCUUUGCAUUGAACACGUGUUUUUGAUUGGUACUGCAAUGCUAUGGGAUGGUAAGGGACUGUAUGUACAUGCCUACACUGUGUUUAUCUGCUAUUCAGGAGAUAAUAAAGCACUAGAA